rnacentral:tRNA from 1 species
GAGGGUAUAGCUCAGUCGGUAGAGCACCGCCCUUUUAAGGCGGGUGUCCUGGGUUCGAGUCCCAGUGCCCUCA